rnacentral:tRNA from 1 species
UAGCCUAGUGGUUAAGGCUAUGGAUCGCCAAUCCGGGGACAACGGGUUCGAUUCCCGU